GUUGAAGGUUUGUAUGCCCAACUGAGCCUACAACCGAAAGCAGUGAGCUGGACGGACACUCUUGGUGUGGGAUGGGUUUGGAGGGUGAGUGCUACCUGCCUGAGUACCACACCGCUUCCUUUAGGACACCAGGAGACUUGCUGGAGCUCGCCCAUCUGACCCAGUCCUCCACAUGAGAUCUGGCAAGAUAAUCACUCCAAGCGUCUGGGGAGCAUCACUAGAAGAAAGUUCAGUGUGAUGAAAAAAAGAGAUAAAAAGAGAGUGUGAUGCAGCAGAAAGAACUCCUUGCUUUCUCCACUGCUCCUGAGGAACCAGUGGCAGAUGAUGGAGACAGAGCGGCUCACUGCUCUCAUGGCUGGAGAAGUGGUAGGAAGCUCUUGGCACCAUAACAUCUGAGUUAAUGUACUCUGCUCUGCCCGUUGUGCCUCCUUGCUCCCAGCAUGGGCAUGGGCUCCUGUUAUGCAGCAUGCCACAUUUUUUUCCUGCGGAAGACGCAAAGACGAGAUGAGAGGAUGUGUUCCGCAGCAGAAGAGAAAGUCUCUGGCCAGCACACUUGCACUUUGGCCAGGCUGGCUUACCCAAGCAGUGAUUUUGGUCAACACACAACUCCUGUCCUGAUGUUGCCAUCACAGAGGAAAAUGUCCAGUUAUGCAGCCUCUGGACUAAACAGCCACCAGCCCAAUGGAGA